AAGCCAUGCAUGUCUCAGUGCAAGCCGUCCAGUACGGUGAAACCGCGAAAGGCUCAUUAAAUCAGUUAUGGUUCCUUAGAUCGUACCCACGUUACUUGGAUAACUGUGGUAAUUCUAGAGCUAAUACAUGCCGACAGAGUUCCGACCAACUGUACGGAUUACGGUUCGGAAGGAACGCUUUUAUUAGAUCAAAACCGGCUAAACGGCGGUUACUUUCCGUCGUAAGCGGCCCGCGCAAAGAUUUGGUGACUCUGAAUAACUUCGAGCUGAUCGCACGGUCUCGUACCGGCGACGUAUCUUUCAAAUGUCUGCCUUAUCAACUGUCGACGGUAGGUUCGACGCCUACCGUGGUGGUAACGGGUAACGGGGAAUCAGGGUUCGAUUCCGGAGAGGGAGCCUGAGAAACGGCUACCACAUCCAAGGAAGGCAGCAGGCGCGCAAAUUACCCACUCCCAGCUCGGGGAGGUAGUGACGAAAAAUAACGAUACGGGACUCAUUCGAGGCCCCGUAAUCGGAAUGAGUACACUUUAAAACCUUGGUCAC
rnacentral:rRNA from 1 species